UUCCUUUAUGUGUCGCCCAUUCAUUGCUUUCAAACGGUGAAUGCGGUGUCGACAAAGGCACACAGCAAAUCCUUGUAUCGGCCUUAUCAAGGUCCCCUCUCGGUGACCUUGUCAUAAGUUCUAUACCAAGUACAGUC
ensembl:snoRNA